rnacentral:lncRNA from 1 species
AUUCUUCCAGAUGGAUGUUUGCAGUAUAUUUUGAAGAAUUUUGUGGUGAAAAUGCUCCACUGAUGAUCACCAUUUUUUGCCAUACUGAGCUAGAAAUAUGAAAGCUUAAUUCCUGUCAGCGAAGACAGUGCUCGCAAGGUUAUGCAAGCCUGCAAAACAGAGGAAUAGAAAGGUUUCCAGAAAUUAUUUACUCAAAACUCAGCCUCUACAAGAGCAACGCCUCAAACCCGCCCUCACCAGAAGCUGCUAUUAAGUGGAUCUCCAUAGCAGCAGUAUCCAGCUGCUCUAUGCUUGUGCAGUCUGGGGAGUACUAAGCUUCGCAAGAAAAUGAAGCGUGUCCAGUUCAGACAGAACCCUCAGAGAUUUUUCCUUGCUAGGUUUUUAUCUGAGCAAACGUGAACUGUGACAUUUUGAAGGCUUGUAACUCACCCAGACUUUGGCAGUCUCAGCAGGAUAGGAAAAGUUUUGUUUCGUUUUAGUUUUCUAGUGUUUUUUUUUUUUUUUUUUUUNNNNUUUUGUUUUUUUUUUUUAACCCAAAGUAGACCUUGUUUAUUUUUUUUUUUCCUCAGGUUUAAAUACAGUGUUUCAUUUGUAUUCUUGUAAAUAGCUGAAUCAUUUUGACUGAAAUUUUCCAAAGGUUCAGACUGAGAUGAAUAUUGACAGGGGGAAACUAGCCCAAGUACUGUCAAACAGUAACAAACUGGAGGAAAACAGGAAAAAAAAAAAAAAAGAGAAAAGAUAUGAUGCAUGGGGGAGGAGGCAGCCUUAAGAGGUGGUAGCAGUACUCCCAGCUACAACUUGUGUGAGACAUGGUUAUUGAUGAAGAUGUUAAACGGUGAAAAUCCUUCCAAACAGCAAGAAUAGAUGGCCUCUGCUGUGCCUGCAGCUUUCCACUUGAGAGACACAGCUUAACUGGUCCAUAGUUGGCCAAAAGGACAUGCCUGUGGGAUCACAGAAAGUAAGGCUGAAGGAGUUGAGAGAUGCUACAAGUCAUCCUUUCCAUCCACAAAGAAGAACAGCUAAAUCUUGUCCUUUUCCUCACAUUCCUUCAUCUGAAUGUUCCUGGGAACAAGGUUCCUUCUAUAGUCAUUUGAAAGAGAUGGACUUCUCCUGAAGGCACCUCAUCAACCCUGAAGGUAAGUGUUUAAAAGAUGCAAGAGAUAACAUCCAUCUUAAGUGGGACGCUUGCUUUUUAGACUGAUACAGUAGAAUUCUUCCAGUUGUGCUUAGUGAUAG